rnacentral:rRNA from 1 species
GAUGAACGCUGGCGGCGUGCCUAAUACAUGCAAGUCGAGCGAACAGACGAGGAGCUUGCUCCUCUGACGUUAGCGGCGGACGGGUGAGUAACACGUGGAUAACCUACCUAUAAGACUGGGAUAACUUCGGGAAACCGGAGCUAAUACCGGAUAAUAUAUUGAACCGCAUGGUUCAAUAGUGAAAGACGGUUUUGCUGUCACUUAUAGAUGGAUCCGCGCCGCAUUAGCUAGUUGGUAAGGUAACGGGUUACCAAGGCGACGAUGCGUAGCCGACCUGAGAGGGUGAUCGGCCACACUGGAACUGAGACACGGUCCAGACUCCUACGGGAGGCAGCAGUAGGGAAUCUUCCGCAAUGGGCGAAAGCCUGACGGAGCAACGCCGCGUGAGUGAUGAAGGUCUUCGGAUCGUAAAACUCUGUUAUUGGGGAAGAACAAAUGUGUAAGUAACUAUGCACGUCUUGACGGUACCUAAUCAGAAAGCCACGGCUAACUACGUG